rnacentral:rRNA from 1 species
UCGAGCGGGGGAAGGUAGCUUGCUACUGGACCUAGCGGCGGACGGGUGAGUAAUGCUUAGGAAUCUGCCUAUUAGUGGGGGACAACAUCUCGAAAGGGAUGCUAAUACCGCAUACGUCCUACGGGAGAAAGCAGGGGAUCUUCGGACCUUGCGCUAAUAGAUGAGCCUAAGUCGGAUUAGCUAGUUGGUGGGGUAAAGGCCUACCAAGGCGACGAUCUGUAGCGGGUCUGAGAGGAUGAUCCGCCACACUGGGACUGAGACACGGCCCAGACUCCUACGGGAGGCAGCAGUGGGGAAUAUUGGACAAUGGGGGGAACCCUGAUCCAGCCAUGCCG